rfam:Lottia gigantea unplaced genomic scaffold LOTGIsca_22, whole genome shotgun sequence.
UGUUUGUGUAAUCUCAGCUGGUAAUUCUGAGUUCUAAUAAAUACUAAUUUUCUCAAGUUACUUGCCGAGAUUAUAUAAAUA